rnacentral:rRNA from 1 species
UCAAGUUAUUAAGGGUGCAGGGCGGAUGCCUUGGCACUAGGAGCCGAUGAAGGACGUGAUAAGCUGCGAUAAGCUUCGGGGAGUUGCACGUAAACUUUGAUCCGAAGAUUUCCGAAUGAGGAAACUCACUUAGAGUAAUGUCUAAGUAUCAUUAAGUGAAUACAUAGCUUAAUGAGGGGAACUCAGGGAACUGAAACAUCUAAGUACCUGAAGGAAGAGAAAGAAAUUCGAUUCCGUAAGUAGCGGCGAGCGAACGCGGAUUAGCCCAAACCAAUAAAGUUUUCUUUAUUGGGGUUGCGGACAUAUCAUAACGAAGAGGUAUCGUAAUUGAAGAGGUUUGGAAAGACCCACCACAGAAGGUAAUAGUCCUGUAUGUUAAACGAGAAGACUUCAGAUAUGAUCCAGAGUACCACGGGACACGUGAAACCCUGUGGGAAGCAGGAGGGACCACCCUCCAAGGCUAAAUACUACCUAGUGACCGAUAGCGUAUAGUACCGUGAGGGAAAGGUGAAAAGAACCCCGGGAGGGGAGUGAAAUAGAACCUGAAACCCUGCACUUACAAGCUGUGGAAGCACAUUUCUUGUGUGACCGCGUACUUUUUGUAGAACGGGCCAACGAGUUACGUUAAGUAGCAAGGUUAAGCACUUAAGGUGCGGAGCCGUAGCGAAAGCGAGUUUUAACUGAGCGUUCAGUUACUUGACGUAGACCCGAAACCGGGCGACCUACCCAUGAGCAGGAUGAAGCGAAAGUAAAAUUUCGUGGAGGUCCGAACCCACGAGCGUUGAAAAGCUCGGGGAUGACUUGUGGGUAGCGGUGAAAUUCCAAUCGAGCCCGGAGAUAGCUGGUUCUCCCCGAAAUAGCUUUAGGGCUAGCCUCAAGGUGAGAGAUACGGAGGUAGAGCACUGAAUGUCCUAGGGGGUAUUGCACCUACCGAAGACUAUCAAACUCCGAAUGCCGUCAUCUUAUACUUGGGAGUCAGACUGUGGGUGAUAAGAUUCAUAGUCGAAAGGGCAACAGCCCAGAUCGUCAGCUAAGGUCCCUAAAUGUAAGUUAAGUGGUAAAGGAUGUGGGAUUGCACAGACAACCAGGAUGUUGGCUUAGAAGCAGCCACUCAUUCAAAGAGUGCGUAAUAGCUCACUGGUCGAGUGAUCCUGCGCCGAAGAUUUCCGGGGCUAAAACUUACUACCGAAGCUACGGCAUCAGUAAUGAUGGGUAGGGGAGCUUCCCAUACGGGUUGAAGCAUGACCGUAAGGACAUGUGGACAGUAUGGGAGUGAGAAUGUUGGCAUGAGUAGCGAGAUGUGGGUGAGAAUCCCACAGGCCGUAAACCCAAGGUUUCCAGGGGAAGGUUCGUCCGCCCUGGGUUAGUCGGGACCUAAGCUGAGGCCGAAAGGCGUAGGUGAUGGACAACAGGUUGAUAUUCCUGUACUACCGAUAACCGUUUGAGAGAAGGGAUGACACAGUAGGAUAAGCUAAGCACACUGUUGGUUAUGUGUGCCCAAGCAUUGAGGCAGUCAAAGUAGGCAAAUCCGCUUUGAUAAUGCUGGGAUGUGAUGGGGAGCGAAAUUUAGUAGCGAAGUAGCUGAUUUCACACUGUCAAGAAAAGUCUCUAUCGAGGUUAAAGGUACCCGUACCGCAAACCGACACAGGUGGGUGAGGAGAGUAUCCUAAGGCCAGCGAGAGAACUGUUGUUAAGGAACUCGGCAAAAUGACCCCGUAACUUAGGGAUAAGGGGUGCCACCAUCAGGUGGCCGCAGAGAAUAGGCCCAAGCGACUGUUUACCAAAAACAUAGGUUUCUGCUAAGUCGCAAGACGAUGUAUAGGAGCUGACGCCUGCCCGGUGCUGGAAGGUUAAGGGGAUCUGUUAGAGCAAUCGAAGCAGUGAACUUAAGCCCCAGUAAACGGCGGCCGUAACUAUAACGGUCCUAAGGUAGCGAAAUUCCUUGUCGGGUAAGUUCCGACCCGCACGAAAGGCGUAACGAUUUGGGCACUGUCUCAACAACAGACUCGGUGAAAUUGUAAUUCCGGUGAAGAUGCCGGAUACCUGCGACAGGACGGAAAGACCCCAUGGAGCUUUACUGUAGCUUGACAUUGGGUCUUGGUACUACAUGUACAGGAUAGGUGGGAGGCUUUGAAACCAGGACGCCAGUUUUGGCGGAGCCAUCCUUGGGAUACCACCCUUGUAGUACUGGGACUCUAACCAUAGGCCAUGAAUCUGGUCUUGGGACACUGUCAGGUGGGCAGUUUGACUGGGGCGGUCGCCUCCCAAAAGGUAACGGAGGCGCUCAAAGGUUCUCUCAGUACGGUCGGAAAUCGUACGUAGAGUGUAAAGGCAAAAGAGAGCUUGAUUGCAAGACAUACAGGUCGAGCAAGGAUGAAAAUCGGACUUAGUGAUCCGGUGGUUCUGCGUGGAAGGGCCAUCGCUCAACGGAUAAAAGCUACCCUGGGGAUAACAGGCUUAUCUCCCCCAAGAGUCCACAUCGA